UUGCAGUCAUAUCACGUUGAUACACCAGUUCCCGUACGAGCACUGAAGUUAAGCAACAUCGAACCAGGUCUGUACCUAGAUAGGUGAAGCCUUGAUUAUACCUGGUGCUGUAAG